UAUUGUCCAUGGCCACACCACCCUGAACGUACCUGAUCUUGGAAGCUAAGCAGGGUCGGGCCUGUUUAGUACUUGGAUGGGAGACUAAAUAUUAUUGCAACAGACCCUACAAUAC
rnacentral:rRNA from 1 species